rnacentral:rRNA from 1 species
UAGCUAGUUGGUGAGGUAAUGGCUCACCAAGGCAACGAUGCGUAGCCGACCUGAGAGGGUGGUCGGCCACACUGGGACUGAGACACGGCCCAGACUCCAACGGGAGGCAGCAGUAGGGAAUCUUCCGCAAUGGACGAAAGUCUGACGGAGCAACGCCGCGUGAGUGAUGAAGGUUUUCGGAUCGUAAAGCUCUGUUGUUAGGGAAGAACAAGUACCGUUCGAAUAGGGCGGUACCUUGACGGUACCUAACCAGAAAGCCACGGCUAACUACGUGCCAGCAGCCGCGGUAAUACGUAGGUGGCAAGCGUUGUCCGGAAUUAUUGGGCGUAAAGGGCUCGCAGGCGGUUUCUUAAGUCUGAUGUGAAAGCCCCCGGCUCAACCGGGGAGGGUCAUUGGAAACUGGGGAACUUGAGUGCAGAAGAGGAGAGUGGAAUUCCACGUGUAGCGGUGAAAUGCGUAGAGAUGUGGAGGAACACCAGUGGCGAAGGCGACUCUCUGGUCUGUAACUGACGCUGAGGAGCGAAAGCGUGGGGAGCGAACAGGAUUAGAUACCCUGGUAGUCCACGCCGUAAACGAUGAGUGCUAAGUGUUAGGGGGUUUCCGCCCCUUAGUGCUGCAGCUAACGCAUUAAGCACUCCGCCUGGGGAGUACGGUCGCAAGACUGAAACUCAAAGGAAUUGACGGGGGCCCGCACAAGCGGUGGAGCAUGUGGUUUAAUUCGAAGCAACGCGAAGAACCUUACCAGGUCUUGACAUCCUCUGACAAUCCUAGAGAUAGGACGUCCCCUUCGGGGGCAGAGUGACAGGUGGUGCAUGGUUGUCGUCAGCUCGUGUCGUGAGAUGUUGGGUUAAGUCCCGCAAUGAGCGCAACCCUUGAUCUUAGUUGCCAGCAUUCAGUUGGGCACUCUAAGGUGACUGCCGGUGACAAACCGGAGGAAGGUGGGGAUGACGUCAAAUCAUCAUGCCCCUUAUGACCUGGGCUACACACGUGCUACAAUGGACAGAACAAAGGGCAGCGAAACCGCGAGGUUAAGCCAAUCCCACAAAUCUGUUCUCAGUUCGGAUCGCAGUCUGCAACUCGACUGCGUGAAGCUGGAAUCGCUAGUAAUCGCGGAUCAGCAUGCCGCGGUGAAUACGUUCCCGGGCCUUGUACACACCGCCCGUCACACCACGAGAGUUUGUAACACCCGAAGUCGGUGAGGUAACCUUUUAGGAGCCAGCCGCCGAAGGUGGGACAGAUGAUUGGGGUGAAGUCGUAACAAGGUAGCCGUAUCGGAAGGUGCGGCUG